rnacentral:rRNA from 1 species
UACGGAGGAUGCGAGCGUUAAUCGGAAUUACUGGGCGUAAAGCGCGCGUAGGCUGUUGUGUAAGUUGGGGGUGAAAUCCCACGGCUCAACCGUGGAACAGCCCUUGAUACUGCGCGACUUGAAUCCGGGAGAGGGUGGCGGAAUUCCAGGUGUAGGAGUGAAAUCCGUAGAUAUCUGGAGGAACAUCAGUGGCGAAGGCGGCCACCUGGACCGGUAUUGACGCUGAGGCGCGAAAGCGUGGGGGAGCAAACAGG